UACGAAGGUCCCAAGCGUUAUCCGGAUUUAUUGGGUUUAAAGGGUGCGUAGGCGGUCUAUUAAGUCAGGGGUGAAAGCCUCAAGCUUAACUUGAGAAUUGCCAUUGAUACUGAUGACCUUGAGUACAUUUGAAGUGGGCGGAAUGUGUCAUGUAGCGGUGAAAUGCUUAGAUAUGACACAGAACACCGAUUGCGUAGGCAGCUCACUAAACUGUAACUGACGCUGAGGCACGAAAGCGUGGGGAGCAAACAGG
rnacentral:rRNA from 1 species